rnacentral:rRNA from 1 species
GACGUAGGGGGCGAGCGUUGUCCGGAGUUACUGGGCGUAAAGGGCGCGCAGGCGGCCGCGCCGGCCAUCCCGUGAAAGCCCCCGGCUCAACCGGGCGGUGGCGGGUGGGACCGCGCGGCUGGAGGGUGGGAGAGGCGGGCGGAAUUCCCGGUGUAGUGGUGAAAUGCGUAGAUACCGGGAGGAACACCCGCGGCGAAGGCGGCCCGCUGGGCCAUCCCUGACGCUGAGGCGCGAAGGCCAGGGGAGCGAACGGG